GUCUCCGUAGUUUAGUGGUUAAAAUCCUGCUUUGAUGCAACAGAGACCCUGGCUCGAGUCCCGGCGGGGACA